rnacentral:rRNA from 1 species
CCUACGUGAGGCAGCAGUGGGGAAUCUUCCGCAAUGGACGAAAGUCUGACGGAGCAACGCCGCGUGAGUGAUGACGGCCUUCGGGUUGUAAAGCUCUGUUAAUCGGGACGAAAGGCCUUCUUGCGAAUAGUUAGAAGGAUUGACGGUACCGGAAUAGAAAGCCACGGCUAACUACGUGCCAGCAGCCGCGGUAAUACGUAGGUGGCAAGCGUUGUCCGGAAUUAUUGGGCGUAAAGCGCGCGCAGGCGGAUUGGUCAGUCUGUCUUAAAAGUUCGGGGCUUAACCCCGUGAUGGGAUGGAAACUGCCAAUCUAGAGUAUCGGAGAGGAGAGUGGAAUUCCUAGUGUAGCGGUGAAAUGCGUAGAUAUUAGGAAGAACACCAGUGGCGAAGGCGACUUUCUGGACGAAAACUGACGCUGAGGCGCGAAAGCCAGGGGAGCGAACGGGAUUAGAUACCCCAGUAGUC